AACCCCUGGCAGUGGGUAGAGACAUCUUGUUGGUGAUGUUCUUACAUCAGUCCGGGACAAAGUAGAUAGCAGUCCUUUGUUUAUCCUAACUUGAUGUCUGACUUGGUGGCCAAAGCUGUCUUAUGCUUAGGACACAUAA